CCCCGCAGCGAGUUGACCUUCGUCUCAUCGUCUCUACUGGGCGCUUCUUCCCCAACUGGCCACCAACCCUCUCGAUCUCUGGCAACUAGCGCCGCUUCACUCCUCCAGCGGAAGGAACGGGACUGCCCACUGCCGAUACCCCGUAUCCGAGCUCUGGGCCACAUCGCGCCCGAGCCUCCUUCCUACGACAACUCUCGAUUUGGCCGCCGCCGGCCGCCCCGAUCCCAAAAUUCCUCCACACCGCCCCGACCUGGAGUGAGGAGAGCCUUGCUUCUAGCGCUGCCUCUGCGUUGAUGAUCUUGGGCGUUCGACCUCGCGUGCUCCGAUCCAGGUAUAGGCGGGAGAGUCUCAUCCAUGCUGCACAUACAGGUGGGCGACCUCUUCAUGGCCCUGGACAAGUGCUAUUCCAUAUGGUGUCUGGCAAGCUCGCGUGAGGAUAUGGAGCGAGCUGGUUGCUGAUCUGCUCUGGGGCCGGUCAGCAAUGUGGCCCAUUUGUAGCUGAAUCUUAUCUGCCACCAUUUUUAUUGUUAGAAGCGCAAGUGUUGAGAUUCAUGUUAUGUCAACUUUGUGCAAUUGGAAAGGAGUCAGAUCGCCUUUGAGUAUGCACAAACAUGUAUCCUUUCCUCUGAUUUGUUACGGCAGACUACAUACCAAGCUUCAUCAAUUGAUGAUCUCAUUGAGAAAGCUGGUCAUCUGUUAUUAUCCGUACUGUUGCUGUUCAAAAUGAUUCAAUGAAAAAUCAUCAGAAAUAAA